AUUGCGUUCGAGUCACCCACUGUCAGAGUGAUUUGAGUUUUGCAAAUGGCGUAAUAUGCGUUGUUCUAUCCCUUUUCCCUUCUAUCUCCCAAAUGGGGAAGGGAUAGAAGGAAGAAUUAGCAGCCUUUGCCGAGAUCGAGGUCAGAGACGUUGUUUGCAUCCUUUGACAGACGUCAACACAACGCGUUAUUAGGCGUUGUUUAUGGUUGCAAGAGUCAGACAUGCACUAAUACAUCCAGCUACCAAUCAGCACUGAAGAAUUCUGCCUACAGUAUAAGUCUUAUACUAUGCCUGUAAAGGGGAACAAGGGACUGCCGAGCUAGAGAGACUAUGAUUGUUUUAAGUUUAGCACAACCAAGUCUGUGUAAACUUCAUCAGCGCCCGACAGUUCUACCUGCUAAAUAAGUGGUAAAUGUACAACUUGUGAUUUGGAAAUACUAAAGAAUAUUAGAUAAAGGUUUACUUAAUCUUGGACUUUAAUAAAGGGAGUCAUGUAAGAAUUUGCUAGCACCAGAAAUACGUAAUGAAAACUAAACUGCAAACAGUAAUUCAGUGAGUUAUUGUAAUGACUGAAAAAGAACAUAUGCCAGGGCUUAUGUGUAAUCUUUGUAAUGAUAAAAUUUGCUAUGUUAAUGGCUGUUUCAGUGCUGUAUAACUUCUCUUGUCAGUAAAGUAUGUUCAGUAGGGUUAAUUAACAUUAUGUAUUUAUAAUAUUCUGAAUAAGGGAAAUUCUGCACUGUUCUUCACUACAUUACUUAAAAAUUUGCCUCAGUAUGGUAUUUAGAAUAUGGCUUUGAACUGAAGAUAAACAUACCAUUAAUAUGAAUUCUGUUUUUAACUUCUAGGCAUAGUGUGUUAUUACAUAAAUUUAUGAAAGUUUUUGGCUAAAUAAUGAUGGAAAUAUACAAGCCAUACUUUAUCUGGAAGUGUGCUCCAUAAAAUGUUAUACAGUAAUCAGUAUUUAACAAUCUUAACUGUCUUGAAAAAACAAAAGAAAAAUGGAGGCUCCUACUACCAUUGAGGAAAAUGCUAUGGCAGUGAAGACUGAAGAUAAAGAGACACAAAUGAGAAUGCAACCAAAAUCAAAUCCUGUGAGAUGUGAAGUAUGUAGUAAACUUUUUGCCCAGAGUCAUCACUUGAAACGUCACAUGGUUGUACACUCUCGCAGCAGGCCUUAUACUUGCACUGAAUGUGGCCAGACCUUUAAGCGCAAUGAACACCUAGGUCGCCACAUGAUGAUCCAUGUCGGAGAUAGGCCUUAUGGGUGUUAUGUCUGUCAGAAAGAGUUUUCAAGAAGAGAACACUUGAGCCGUCAUAUGUUCACCCACACUGAUGAGAAACCCUUUUAUUGUGAGGAGUGUGGAAAGGGAUUCAUUCGCAAGGAGAAACUUCAUAACCACAUGAGGUCACAUGCAACGAGUCAGUUGCAGAAGACCAUUUUGACAGCUCAUGCAGCAGCUCAUGUGGCUGUGGCUGCUCAUGUGGCAUCUCAUGAUAGCAGUCAAAUACAGAAGUGAAUCUAGGUGAACUGAUAGCAGUGGAAGUGAAAAACUAUUCUUGGAAGUUAUAUCUUCAUGCAGUGAUCAUUUAUAUACACAAAGUAGGAUAGGUUUCAUAAAACAAUGAUACAAGGAAAAAAAGGAACUGGACAAUAAAGUUCCCACUAAAGGAGCGGGGAAAACUGGCUGUCCAUUUUGAUUCUAGUUGGACAUUUCUUAUUUUGAAAUAUUAAGUGGAAACUCCCCAAGUUACAGAAGUGAAUGAAGGCUAUGUAUGAAAAAUAUAGUACAAUAAAUUAAAUUGUAAAUGAGGUUAAAUUCAUAAGUAUUAAAAGUUAUUUCUCACCUGCUUUUUAAAUCUCUAUGUAAAUAUAGCGAAAACUAUCCAGUUCAGUAAGGUUAAAGCUACAACUACAUGCAACUAUGAGUCUUGACAUUCGUUGUUUCCUAUUCUAGGUAGUUUUGCUUGUAAUUUUACCAUGUCUAGAGAGAGACCCACUGUAUACAAUCCUGUACAGAAUGUUUAUUCCCUAAAGUGGCAAAAACAAGAAUUUUAAUUUGUGGGUGGGAUGCAAGGAAUGGAAUUUAUAUAGUAAAUGAUUUUCAAACAGUUUUUAUCCAAUAAUUUACCUUUCAGGUAGAUGGAAUUUGGACAGGAGUUUUAUUUAUUGUACUUGUAUUGUAAAUUUUUCUAGUUAACCCUGUGAGAAUUAUGUUGAACUGUGUUCUUUGGCAACUAUAUAGCUAUGGAUACUAAUAUGGGAUGAUGUAUAUAAUGGUGAUAAGAAAAUAUAUACAUUGUUGUAUAACUCACGGGGAUAGUAACUAGGUACUCUGUUGUUUGCUACUUGUUUAUCAGCUUACGACAUUGAACCAUGGCAGAUCAAGUGAUCUUUGUUAGCAGGUUUUAGCUAUAUGUAAAGUCACAGUAAAUUGAAGUGUCUGGAAAUAUUAAAUUGAAGCUGAUAAGAUAAAAAAUUGUCCUGUAGCUUAAUUUUAAGCUGACAAAAAAAGCUGUUGCCCUUUUCGAGAUAGCAAGGUAUGGUAUGGAUUACAGUAUUUUUAAUAAAUUGCUUAUCAGUCUAAAAAAAAAAUGACGAGUCUCUUGGAAGAUAUUUUUAAAAUAUGUUUACUGAUAAUUAUGUUAUAGUUUUGGCUUGUUUUCUUACACAGUAUAUUUAACGAAUAAUUGUAUAUUUAACAUUUCAUUCAAGAAUGUUUGUAGGCUUUGUUGCACAAUUUUUUUAUUAUGUGCAUAAAUAAAUUUAUAGUGAGGUAAAAUUCACAAUGAAAUACAUGCUAUAAAACUUGUGCAUUAAAAUUAUAUAUACGUAUACAAAAACUAAAUGAUUUCCUCCAACUACUGUGGACUUGUUCACUAAAAUAAGGUGUAUCAAAUAACUGAGGAAGCAAAGCAGAGUAAGAAGUCAAAAGUAAAAGCAAACAUUACAAAACAUGAAAUUGUAAUCAGGCUGUUCGAACAUUGUUAUUCCAAUAUUGUAUGAGACCUCGAUGGAAGAAACCUGGACUCUUCUGCUAAUUAGUCAAUAAAAGUUGAUUUGCUUUUAAAACAGUUGAGUUUUGAAAAAAUGUAAGACUAGAAAUAUUUCUAGUUAUUUUUUCUCUUAUAAUGGCAUUCUCAAAUUACCCAAGUUUCCAUAAAAGGUAUUAUUUAAUAUAUUCUUAAAUUAAGUGUAGUUUUGUAGCCUGGCACCCCUGGGAAAGUACUAUAUAAUAUGUACCAUAUACAUAACAGAAUUUUAAAAUGUUGAAGUAUAGAUAAAUACCCUGAUGGAACUACCAGAUGAUGUAUUGAAGGCACCCUUAUCACCCUUAUUAUUACAUUAAAUAAUACCUUUCAUGGAACCUGGGGUGCUGUUGAGAAUACAUUAUAAGUCAAGAAAUAUGCAAAUGUACUAGUAUUCGUAACUUCAAAGUUUCUAUUUUUUUACAUUCUUUAAAAAAAUCAAACUACUGUAUCACUUUAGAAAAAAAUUACCUUGUUGACUUAGUGGAAGACUCCAGGUUUGUCCAGUGUCGGUGGCCUUGUAGAAUUUUAUAAUUGACAAGUCACAUGGAGAUUACCAAUUUCAUUUUUGAAAUGUUUGCUUUUAGUUUUCUUGCUUUACUGUGUUUCUUGAGUUGUCUGUUAGAUCUCAUUUUUGUAGUUGGGUGAAAGCUGUAAGUUUUGAUUUAUAUUAUAUAUUUUUUAAUAAAUAAGAAGUUAUAUAACAUUUAUUUCAUUAUAGAUCUUACCUCACAUUUAUGAGAAGUAAGACAGUACUUUAAUAUUUAAUAAUUUUAUAGCUCUUAAGUUGUGGCAUGUGUUGUUUCUGAAUGUCACAAAAGAGUCCUGGUGAGGAAAAAAAAACCUAAAAACUUCAUUUUAAGUAAUCCUGUUUAUAAUUGCCAUUGCAGAUGUUCAGUUCAGUCCUGUUUUUUUAACCUUCAUAGAUUUAUAUUCUUUUGCAGUUAUUUUUAAAAUGCUUAUAGUAUUUCACCCCAAGUUGAGUUGCAAGUGGGGUCAUGAACUUUGAUUGGUAUGCUAGAUUUUAAAAUCCAUGUAGUAUUUCAUUUUCUGUCAAGUGGAAUAGUAAAUUUUCAAGGAAUAAAAUUAAAAUGCAGUUCAUUACUUGUCUUUCAAAAACAUCUAGAAAUAGGAUGCAAACAGUUCAUAUUAACUAUGAGAAUAAUUGGUGUCUCCUCAGACACCAACAUUGUAGCUAUAUUUGAUUUACUGUUGUAUAUCAUAGAAUUAUAACCAUUAUUAUAAGAAACAUCUGUAUUAAAUGUUAUGAAUAAAAUAUAGUAGUACAGAACAUAA